rnacentral:tRNA from 1 species
GUUAAUAUAGUUUUAAAACAAACAUUA